rnacentral:rRNA from 1 species
AUGUCGGAGAGGUUUGGGGAAGCCACGGGACUAUGUGUAAACCCAUUGAAAUCCAUGGUCGGACCUAUCCAAUGUCAAGUCUUGGACCUAGAUAGCAUUCUACAAGGGUUUCCCAGCCGACGCACGGGCUUCCCAAUCACCUACUUAGGUUUGCCAAUCUCUCUGGGAAGACUGAGGAAGGUGCAUCUCCAAUUCAUCUUCGACGGCAUCAAGGCAAAACUAGCAGGAUGGAAGGGGCGGUUAAUGAACAUCUCGGGCCGGAAAACGCUUGUCCGCUCUGUGCUUUCAGCUUUUCCAAUCUUCGCACUCACUGCCAUUCAAGCCUCCAGCGAAAUACUGAAGGAUAUUGACAAGAUAUGCCGGCGUUUCCUUUGGGCUCAGGAGGAGAAGCUUUCCGGUGGCAAAUGCAAAGUAAACUAG